ensembl:snRNA U2 U2 spliceosomal RNA
AUCACUUCUUGGCCUUUUGGCUAAGAUCAAGUGUAGUAUCACCAGUGUAUCUAUUUCCAAAAGUUUUUAAUCACUCCAGACAGAAACUCU